rnacentral:sRNA from 1 species
GCCGGGUGCAGUGGCACACGCCUGUCAUCCCAGCGACUCUGGAGGCUGAGGCAGGAGGAUCGUGAGUUCAAAGCCAGCCUCAGCACCAGCGAGGCGCUAAGCAACUCCGUGAGACCCUGUCUCUA